GUUAUAACCGGCGAUUUCCGAAUGGGGAAACCCAGUGUGUUUCGACACACUAUCAUUAACUGAAUCCAUAGGUUAAUGAGGCGAACCGGGGGAACUGAAACAUCUAAGUACCCCGAGGAAAAGAAAUCAACCGAGAUUCCCCCAGUAGCGGCGAGCGAACGGGGAGCAGCCCAGAGCCUGAAUCAGUGUGUGUGUUAGUGGAAGCGUCUGGAAAGGCGCGCGAUACAGGGUGACAGCCCCGUACACAAAAAUGCACAUGCUGUGAGCUCGAUGAGUAGGGCGGGACACGUGGUAUCCUGUCUGAAUAUGGGGGGACCAUCCUCCAAGGCUAAAUACUCCUGACUGACCGAUAGUGAACCAGUACCGUGAGGGAAAGGCGAAAAGAACCCCGGCGAGGGGAGUGAAAAAGAACCUGAAACCGUG
rnacentral:rRNA from 1 species